AAAAAUCCGUUGGCUUUAUUGACCGUGAGGGUUCAAGUCCC
rnacentral:tRNA from 3 species